GGGGAGGUGCCAGAGUGGUCGAAUGGGGCCGCCUGCUAAGCGGUUACUGGGGCGAAAUCCUCAGUCGCAGGUUCGAAUCCUGUCCUCCCCG
rnacentral:tRNA from 1 species